AUUACCCUUGAUAGCAAAUUGAUAUAUUUGUCCCUAAUUGUUAAUUCAAACGUCAACCAGCAAGUUUUCUCCGGUGAUAGCAAAUUAAUCAAACAUUCAUAAUAAAAGUCAUCAUCGAUUUCUUCAGUGAUAGCAAAUCGAUCAAAUCGAUCUUCGAUCUUCUCUAGUGAUAUAUUGGCACAAUUACUCUUCGAUCUUAAUUUCUUCUCAGUCAAGUGCCAUCAACACCGAUCAUCACAUUAUUAUCAGCGAUUACUUCACGUAAUUGUAGAGAAAAAUUCAAAAAUACCAGCGAUUACUUCCUUAUCUUCUCCAUAACUUUUUUCGGCAAUUGGUUCAAAUUUAGGUAAGCGUGAGUUCGAAUCACCUGAUCAUCUCUACAAUUUCUUCAAUUUCUUGAAUUUUAGGUACUACAAAAUCAUAGAAGGAUAUCAUAUUCUUUUCAUUGUGCAUCGAGAAAGAGAUGGAGUUCGAUUUGAGUUGACAUACGACAACAUCUUUGAACGUUUGUAGGAAGCUUGUGUAAUAGCUAUAGAAGCUACAUUUGAGAAGAUUCAAGCCUUUAUAGUUUUGUUAUUUUGUAAAAUGAAUAUAUGGAUAUCAUUUGAUAAUGUAAUAAACUCCUUAAUUUUGGUCAAGACAAUGAGAAAAUUAAGACAUUUUCAUCUGUU